rnacentral:rRNA from 1 species
GACGAACGCUGGCGGCGUGCCUAAUACAUGCAAGUAGAACGCACAGUUUAUACCGUAGCUUGCUACACCAUAGACUGUGAGUUGCGAACGGGUGAGUAACGCGUAGGUAACCUGCCUGGUAGCGGGGGGUAACUAUUGGAAACGAUAGCUAAUACCGCAUAAUAUUGAUUAUUGCAUGAUAAUUGAUUGAAAGAUGCUAUUGCAUCACUACCAGAUGGACCUGCGUUGUAUUAGCUAGUAGGUGAGGUAACGGCUCACCUAGGCGACGAUACAUAGCCGACAGGAGGGGGAGAGCGGCCAAACGGAGACAGGAGCAGGCCCCAAACUCCUGGGGGGGGCAGAAGUAGGGAAUCUUGGGAAAUGGAAGAAAGUCUGACCGAGCAAGGCCGGGGGAGUAAAGAGGGUUUCCGGAGGAAAAAGCUCUUUUGAAAGAGAAGAACGGGUGGGGGAGUGAAAAGUUCACACUGUGACGGUAUCUAACCAGAAGGGGACGGCUAACUACGUG